rnacentral:rRNA from 1 species
AUACGUAGGGUGCAAGCGUUAAUCGGAAUUACUGGGCGUAAAGCGUGCGCAGGCGGUUUUGUAAGACAGUGGUGAAAUCCCCGGGCUCAACCUGGGAACUGCCAUUGUGACUGCAAGGCUGGAGUGCGGCAGAGGGGGAUGGCAUUCCGCGUGUAGCAGUGAAAUGCGAAGAUAUGCGGAGGAACACCGAUGGCGAAGGCAAUCCCCUGGGACUGCACUGACGCUCAUGCACGAAAGCGUGUGGAGCAAACAGGAUUAGAUACCCUGGUAGUCCACGCCCUAAACGAUGUCAACUGGUUGUUGGGGAUUUAUUUUCUCAGUAACGAAGCUAACGCGUGAAGUUGACCGCCUGGGGAGUACGGCCGCAAGGUUAAAACUCAAAGGAAUUGACGGGG